AACAAAUAUGUCAUAGAUAACAUCUCCUUCUCUUGGAAACGGAAAUCAAAUCUGAUAGGUUCAUGCUCAGUCUCUAAUUCCAGUAGAACAAACCAUAGUCAAAUAUAAAUGUAGCACCAGAUUGGACUGAGUGGUUAACUUCACUCACUAUAUCUUUUUCCAUCCUAGAAUCUCAAACUUUGAAACUAUAAAUUCAUUUGGGAUCGCAUCAACUUCUGUGAAUCCUUGGAUCCUUUUCUGUAUAUAAGCACAACCGACAAUCUUAGCCGGACCUACCAUGGGAAAAUAAAGUACAAUAUGUAAUUAUGCAUCAACAAGUAAAGCAAGACACAAACCUAAAUCAUGCUAGUGGUUGGAGAUGGAUGAAGAGAAGUCCGGAUCUACAAUAUCAUGACAAAAAAUGAGGGAUUCUCACCGACGAGCUUCCAAUUCGCAACGAGAAGGAACUCUACAUAGGACGCCUCCCACCUCAUCUUCCUGCUCACAUUUGCCUUCCUUCCAAGGCAAAACCAACUAAAAUCAGAAAAAAAACUCAGUACCAAAGCCCAGAGACGAAUAGAGGGAGGGAGAGAGAUAACAAGCGAGUGAAUUACCAAGUGCACUUCUUGCAAUUUCUUCCUGGCGUUGGCGGCUUCUGCUAUCAACAUGUCGAUGACGGCUGUCCGACGUCCGCUUAUCGCCCUGCCAUCCAUUG
rnacentral:lncRNA from 1 species